AUAUUGCAUGACACUGUUUUUGACAGCCUGUUGUUUUGCUUCAAUGACCCCACCAUUAAUUAUGCCUUCAAAUCAAGUCAACAAUUUAUCUAAUGCGUCUGUUUGUCCAAGACAUUGAAGAUUUUGAGUCACACAAUAUUUCAGUUACAGAGACCCUGAACCAAUUGGCAGCAUGUGUGGAUUUUUUCACAGGCUCUUCAGUCUAACCUUGACAUACAGGAAGACGUACAGGUAGCCCCUACACAGGUGGUUGAAAAGAAGCUUCACCGGCCUUCAAGGCCCACAAUGCUCUCCUCCUCAUUAUCCACUGGUGCCAGUGCGCCACACCCCUACUCCACACUCAUCCCUGGGGCUCUCUCAGCUAUCCUGCGUGCUACCCUGCCCCCUCACCUUACCUCUGACCCCAAGCCCAGGAGAGAGUCAGAUGCCCAGUGCCAACUGACCCUUGAGCAGCUGCGGACAGAGCUCCGGGACCUAAGGGAUGAGGUCAAACUGAU